CCCUUGGUAGUUUAAUGGUAGAGCAUCUGACUGUAGAUAGAGUAGAUAUCAGAUAAUACUGGUUCGAUUCCAGUUCAGGGGA
rnacentral:tRNA from 1 species